rnacentral:tRNA from 1 species
GCCAGGAUGGCAGAUAGGCCAUGCGUCCGCCUGCAGAGCGGAAAAGGGGGGUUCGAUUCCCUCUCCUGGCU